UGAAGCUCGUCUAUACAAGAUAAUAACGAUUAUGCACGGGAUGCGUUAUAAAUACAUUCAUUCACAAAAACAAAAAUUGAUGAUCAAAGGUACUGAUUUUUAUUUUGUUUGAUUCAGAACUUUGAUGGUCAAAGAUUGUGAUUUCCUCUGGAUUUAUUACCUUAUGUUGGGCGUUUUACCAUGCAUAAAAAUACUUUUUUUUCUAGCAGGAAAAUAAACGAAACUUUAAAAAUGAAAAAAACUCUCUCUACCUCUACUUCCACCCUUCCCCGAAGCGAACCCAGGAAGCUUCUUCAUCACAGAUCCACAACGAUGACGUGAUGGGGAGGAGCGAGGAGGAGGAGAUGCGGGUGUUCGAGGACGGCGCGUUCCAGAUCGCCGAGGGUGGCGGCGGCGGCGAGUUGGGUCUCCUGAGCGAUCGAGUUCUUGGAUAAUUGCGUGGACCAGGAUAAGUGGCAUCCGGUUCGUAAUUUGAUCGGGUCGGGUCGAUUCGUGUCUGUCAAACCGGGAGAGUUGCGGUGCGAUCAGGUUAUGCUUUUUUGAUCCAUCUGUUCGUCCUCGUCUCCGUUCUAGUCGUGCAGUUAGGAUCCAAAUCAGUUGGAAUCUGGAAUUGACUGGUGGUUACGGGAAUUCGGCAUUGCGGCUUUUACGCAGUUUUAUGGCGGAGUAGGAUGUGAUAAUGAUCAAUGGUGAUGGAGCUCCAAAGUCAUGUCAUUUGUUAGGGGAGUGCAAUACAAAUUGCUAUGCAUUUUUAGCUAUGGAAUUGAUUGAAUGCUAUUACAGUUUGGGGAUCAGUGAUAAUGAAAGCUGAAUAUGCUAACAAGUGAUUAAUUAUCUCCUAGAUUCCGAGAAACAUGGGAACCACACAGAUUGGAAAGAUCUAGGUUCCAGGUAAAUUCAGUUGGACAGGUGAUCUUUUGUGGUAGCUCCACCCUUUCAUGAUUGAUUAUGGCUGCGCAGAACCAAUGGUUGUCGCGACGCUGGAAAUUCUGGCUACACUGAAACUGCAAUUGGCUGAUCAUGUAUUCCCUAGAUUCUGGGAAAGAUGAGAACAAAAGAUUUGAGGAUCUAGAGUCUAGACCAAUGUGGUUAGACAGGUGGUUUUUUCCUGCUAGCUGUUUAUCUAUCAUUUUUAUGUGGACUAUUUCUACUUUUCUCUCUGUUUUCUCUGCUCUUCAUUUCAUUUUAUCUCUCUCUAACGUUAUCUCUCUUGACGCCGCAGUGGAUCAAGGAGCCAACAAUUCUUAUCGCCCGCUUUGAAUAUGCAAACCUUUCACAAUGUUACUGAUUGGUACAAUGCAUACGUUUCCUCCAGGGUCACUGAAUUACCGUAUCGACCUCAUAUUAUCUUUGUAGACGGCCAUUGCACGGCAAUAGCUACAUUUUGUAUUUAAACCCGAAAUGAAUCAGCUAGUUUACCAAAAAUAAACGCAUCCAAGCUUUUGUUGGGCAUGUAUUCGUAGAUCAGCAUUUUUCCGUCUCCCUGAGUGCAACUACCGAGAAGCUUUACUAGAUUUCGGUGCUGAAGUUUCGCAAUUAGUAUGACCUCAUUCUUGAACUCCCUCAGUCCUUGCCUAGAGCUACUUGAAAGUCUCUUCACAGCGAUUUCUCAUCCAUCUACAAGUAUACCCUGGAAAAAAAAAAUAACAAUGGGAAGAUUCAAUUCCAAAAGCAGGAUCAUUGUGCUAUGUUUCGGAUAGUCCACUCCAAAUUUUGUUUUACCUUGUAUACUGGUCCAAAACCGCCUUCACCUAGCUUGUUCCUCAUUGAAAAAUUGUUUGUGGACUCAGCAAUUGUGUGUAGGUCGAAUAAUGGGAGCUCCAAGUCAUCAUCAGGGUGUUCACUCUCGCCCUUCAGAUAUAUUUUCUGCUAUCUCUAAAAUGGAAAAUCUGAGGUAUUUAGCUCAAGUAAAAAGAAGGCAGGGAAGCACUGUAAGUCCCACUUCUGAUCAAACCAGUGAACAAACUUUUUUCUGCGGUAUCAUGCAACUCUCUGACUAUGCCAAAUUUUUAGUUUUCAAAUUUAGAGUGAUAAUUUUCGAUAUUCUUCUCUUUUCCUUGACCACAGAUUUUCUCUUUGGCAUGAAAACUAAGUAUUGUGAGGAGAGUCAUGAGAAGAAAUAUGUACCUCUGAAGUUUUUCCUUCUUCUGCGUGCAUAACAGAUGGCGACUAGCAUGGCAGUAGUUAUGGCAAUUGCUAAUACAACUACCAGAACUAUCCACACCUUGGACUUACUCUUCCCUGUUCAAUUGAAAAGUUAGCAUAAAAAACAUAUAAAUGCCAAAUAUGACGGGUGACUAUUGAAAGGUGUGUGCUCACAUUUGAUAGGAAAAAUAAUGAUAGAUGAAACGGAAAUCUAGUGCAAGAUCUACUUUUCUAAGAGAUGCCAAAACAAGAUAGUACCUAUUUCUGAAGCUGGCAUCCGCAAAUAUGGAACCUGCCCAGCAUCUGGAUACUGUCUCAUAUCUAUCAGAUCACCGAACCACAUUGCACAUCCACUUCCUCGUCCACUGAUAUCUGAGUUUGCAUAUGCUGUACAUGAACAGUUGUUCAAGCAUUUGGUCCAGCAAUCGUCAAGGCUCAAGGUACUAUCCACUAAACAAUGAGUAGUGUCUGGCAAUUUCAUGUUAGGAUACUUUAUGAAUCCAUCGCUGAUGAUGCAGUUCAGAGGCUCAUU